rnacentral:rRNA from 1 species
AGUGAACGCUGGCGGUAGGCCUAACACAUGCAAGUCGAACGGCAGCACAGUAAGAGCUUGCUCUUACGGGUGGCGAGUGGCGGACGGGUGAGGAAUACAUCGGAAUCUACUUUUUCGUGGGGGAUAACGUAGGGAAACUUACGCUAAUACCGCAUACGACCUACGGGUGAAAGCAGGGGAUCUUCGGACCUUGCGCGAUUGAAUGAGCCGAUGUCGGAUUAGCUAGUUGGCGGGGUAAAGGCCCACCAAGGCGACGAUCCGUAGCUGGUCUGAGAGGAUGAUCAGCCACACUGGAACUGGGACACGGUCCAGGCGCCUACGGGAGGCAGCAGUGGGGAAUAGUGGGCAAUGGGGGCAAGCAUGAUCCAGCCAUACCGCGUGGGUGGAGAAGGCCUUCGGGUUGUAAAGCCCUUUUGUUGGGAAAGAAAAGCAGCAGGUUAAUACCCCGCUGUUCUGACGGUACCCAAAGAAUAAGCACCGGCUAACUUCGUG